rnacentral:lncRNA from 10 species
CCAAAAACGAGCCAGAUGCUUUAAUGGGCUGCCUCCAGGGCCCAUCGGCUCAUCAGAAUCCCUUAAAUGAGGGCUCAGCAGAGGUGAAGUUUCUUGCCCAGGUCCUGCAGCAAGAACACGAGCCGGGAUUCAAGCCCAGGUCUGUCGGGCUCCAAAGCCCAUGUGUGUUCUCUAGGCAAGAAAUAGGGAGUAGUCCUAUCCAAUAA